ensembl:misc_RNA 7SK 7SK RNA
GGAUGUGAGGGCGAUCUGGCUGCGACAUCUGUCACCCCAUUGAUCGCCAGGGUUGAUUUGGCUGAUCUGGCUGGCUAGGCGGGUGUCCCCUUCCUCCCUCACCGAUCCAGCUACACGCUCGGUCAAAGAGAGGAGAGGACCAGUCUUCAGUCAAGGCCAUAGGAGUAGCUGCGCUCCCCUGCUGGGACCUCCAGACAAGCUCUCUGCAGGAGAAAGUAGAGUAGUCAAGCUCCCAAGUCUCCAGGCACAUCCAAAUGAGCCAAGUGAGAUGCUGCACAUGGCAGUCUGCCUUUCUU